rnacentral:misc_RNA from 1 species
AAUUCUCAACCAUUUAUUUGGCUUGGAUGUGGGGGCUGGCUGGCUUCUUUGAGGUCAGCUCCCCUUAAAUGCAUUAGCUGGUGACCUGUGUGGACUUGUCUAUUGGUGUGAUAAUUAUCUACGCCGUGGAUGUCUGCAAUCAUAGCACUGCUUCUAACCGUCUGUUCAUUCGGACAAUACAUGACA